GAAUUGUUCGCAAUGGGCGCAAGCCUGACGACGCAACGCCGCGUGGAGGAUGAAGAUCUUCGGGUCGUAAACUCCUUUCGACCGAGAUGAACACUCGCCGGCCUAAUACGCCGGCGAGCUGACAGUAUCGGGAGAAGAAGCCCCGGCUAACUCCGCGCCAGCAGCCGCGGUAAUACGGGUGGGGCAAGCGUUGUUCGGAAUUACUGGGCGUAAAGGGUUCGUAGGUGGCCUGUUAAGUCAGACGUGAAAUCCCUCGGCUCAACCGGGGAACUGCGUCUGAAACUAGCGGGCUUGAGUGCAGGAGAGGAACGCGGAAUUCCAGGUGUAGCGGUGAAAUGCGUAGAUAUCUGGAGGAACACCGGUGGCGAAGGCGGCGUUCUGGACUGCUACUGACACUGAGGAACGAAAGCCAGGGGAGCAAACGGG
rnacentral:rRNA from 1 species